rnacentral:antisense_RNA from 1 species
UCGUAAGUAUGCACUUUAUUAACAUAUAGUAUCGAAUAGUAUACUGUAUUUCUAAUCGAUGGACUCGGCUCUUUUUAUUUCGUUUUCAAGAUCGUUUUCCAUGUAGUUUUUCCCCAUUUACCCACACUUCAUUUGGCUUCGUAACGGUAAAAUUUGGUUUAAAACAUUUUCACGGACCGCAUGGUUAUGUUUUUUACGGUACGAGACAUCAUUCCUUCAUCUUUCAUUAUGCGGGAGACCGUCUUCUGAGAAACCUCCAUUUCUUUAUGAUUGAGCUUUUUCAAACUUUUGAACUCCUAUGGCGGGAU